rnacentral:lncRNA from 1 species
ACAUAAUGGAAUGGUGGGAAGACUCCGGAUCAGGAAACAUGAAUUUAAGUCUCCAUUUAUCUAAGUUAUUUGCUCAGAAAUCCCUCAAUGUGCAAGCUGGACUAAAGUGGGAAGAAAAAUCAUGGAGUAUCCAUUUAGGAGUAUAUUCCAACAAUCAAGAUGAGAAGCAGCGAGAGCCUGGAUAACUUGUGGAUACAUAAGGCUGACUUAACAGAAGAGAGGAACGGACUGAGGCAAAUGAGGGUCAUGCUGGAAGCCAUGAUCUUGCAGUGUCUCUUAGCCUGGAGUACAGUGGUG